AUACGUAGGGUGCGAGCGUUGUCCGGAAUUACUGGGCGUAAAGAGCUCGUAGGUGGUUUGUCGCGUCGUCUGUGAAAUUCCGGGGCUUAACUCCGGGCGUGCAGGCGAUACGGGCAUAACUUGAGUACUGUAGGGGAGACUGGAAUUCAUGGUGUAGCGGUGAAAUGCGCAGAUAUCAGGAGGAACACCGGUGGCGAAGGCGGGUCUCUGGGCAGUAACUGACGCUGAGGAGCGAAAGCAUGGGUAGCGAACAGGAUUAGAUACCCUGGUAGUCCAUGCCGUAAACGGUGGGCGCUAGGUGUAGGGGUCUUCCACGACUUCUGUGCCGUAGCUAACGCAUUAAGCGCCCCGCCUGGGGAGUACGGCCGCAAGGCUAAAACUCAAAUGAAUUGACGGGG
rnacentral:rRNA from 1 species